CAGUCGCCACGGGAAUACAGAGGGUGCGAGCGUUAAUCGGAUUUACUGGGCGUAAAGCGUGCGUAGGCGGCUAAUUGAGUCGGAUGUGAAAUCCCCGAGCUUAACUUGGGAAUUGCAUUCGAUACUGGUUAGCUAGAGUGUGGGAGAGGACGGUAGAAUUCCAGGUGUAGCGGUGAAAUGCGUAGAGAUCUGGAGGAAUACCGAUGGCGAAGGCAGCCAUCUGGCCUAACACUGACGCUGAGGUACGAAAGCGUGGGGAGCAAACAGGAUUAGAUACCCCCGUAGUCCCUGUCUCUUAUAC
rnacentral:rRNA from 1 species